rnacentral:rRNA from 1 species
UACGAGGGGGGCAAGCGUUGUUCGGAUUUAUUGGGCGUAAAGGGUGCGUAGGCGGUUUGGCAAGUCUGAUGUGAAAUCUAUGGGGCUCAACCCAUAGUCUGCAUCAGAAACUGCCGGGCUUGAGUAUGGGAGAGGUGAGUGGAAUUUCCGGUGUAGCGGUGAAAUGCGUAGAUAUCGGAAGGAACACCUGUGGCGAAAGCGGCUCACUGGACCAUAACUGACGCUGAUGCACGAAAGCUAGGGGAGCAAACAGG